rnacentral:rRNA from 1 species
GACGAACGCUGGCGGCGUGCUUAACACAUGCAAGUCGAACGAAAAGAGGGAAAGUGCUUGCUCUUUCCGGAAUUGAGUGGCGAACGGGUGAGUAACACGUAAACCACCUGCCUUCAGGAUGGGGACAACAGACGGAAACGACUGCUAAUACCGAAUAAGUGCCAAAAGCCGCAUGGCCGAUGGAAGAAAAGGUGGCCGCUACCUGUAAGCCAUCGCAUGAAGAGGGGGUUGCGUCUGAUUAGCUUGGUGGGGGGGGAAGGGCGCACCAAGGAGACGAACAGUAGCCGGACGGAGAGGAUGGACGGCCACACUGGAAGUGAGACAUGGUCCACAAGCAUAGGGGAGGCAGCCGUGGUGAAUCUUGAGCAAGGGGCGAAAACCUGACGGAGAAAGGCGGAGGGCGGGUUGAGGGACUCCGGGUGGGAAAAGUCGGUGAUCGGGGACGAAAAGGCAGAGUGCGAAGAACAAGCUGCAUUGACGGUACCGGAAAAGCAAGCCACGGCUAACUACGUG